rnacentral:rRNA from 1 species
AUUGAACGCUGGCGGCAUGCCUUACACUUGCAAGUCGAACGGCAGCACGGGAGCAAUCCUGGUGGCGAGUGGCGAACGGGUGAGUAAAGUAUCGGAACGUGCCCAGUCGUGGGGGAUAACGUAGCGAAAGUUACGCUAAUACCGCAUACGAUCUAUGGAUGAAAGCGGGGGAUCGCAAGACCUCGCGCGAUUGGAGCGGCCGAUAUCAGAUUAGGUAGGUGGUGGGGUAAAGGCUCACCAAGCCGACGAUCUGUAGCUGGUCUGAGAGGACGACCAGCCACACUGGGACUGAGACACGGCCCAGACUCCUACGGGAGGCAGCAGUGGGGAAUUUUGGACAAUGGGCGAAAGCCUGAUCCGGCCAUGCCGCGUGCAGGAUGAAGGCCUUCGGGUUGUAAACUGCUUUUGUACGGAACGAAAAGGUUUGGCCUAAUAAGCUGAGCUCAUGACGGUACCGUAAGAAUGAGCACCGGCUAACUACGUGCCAGCAGCCGCCGUAA